GGACAGUCAUCGCCGAGUCCCCGUACGGCGCGAGCCAGGGGAGCCGGGGACCCAUUGCAGUCCCUGGGGUGAAUCGGACGCCCGCGCGUGCAGCGAGGGGGUCCGUAGGAGACCUUCCUGCUCCGAACCCGUCAGCUAACCCGGUAGGCGAGAGGGAAGGAAAGG
rnacentral:sRNA from 2 species